rnacentral:rRNA from 1 species
GAAUUGCAGAAUCCCGUGAACCAUCGAGUCUUUGAACGCAAGUUGCGCCUGAAGCCAUUAGGCUGAAGGCACGGCUGCCUGGGCGUCACGC